AAGACUAUACUUUCAGGGAUCAUUUCUAUAGUUUCUAACUUGAGAAAGUGUUUUCUAAAGUGUUUGGUCUCGCUAGCCUGAUGAUGAGUCGUGAUAUUUCCUUCUGAGCGUGAAGCUGACAGAGAGUAAUGAUCAAAUUUCAUAUUUUCUCUGUCAUUGAUGAUUGUUCUUUACUUCUUGCUGGAGUAUUAAGGAAGGGAAUGUGAUCCGAGUGGU
rnacentral:snoRNA from 1 species